AGUGUCCGCUGCGCUGGUGGUUCACCGGUCCGCACGGGCCGGUGAGGCAAGAGGGAACCCGGUGCGAGUCCGGGACUGCCCCGCAGCGGUGAGUGGGAACGACCGCCGUCACAGGCACUGGGAGCACACGCUCCUGGGAAGCGACGGCCAGUAGGAACGAGUACGGCGCCCGCGAGUCCGAAGACCUGCCACCGGUGCGCGCACCGU
rnacentral:ncRNA from 2 species